AUUGAACGCUGGCGGCAUGCCUUACACAUGCAAGUCGAACGGCAGCACGGGAGCUUGCUCCUGGUGGCGAGUGGCGAACGGGUGAGUAAUACAUCGGAACGUACCCUGAAGUGGGGGAUAACGUAGCGAAAGUUACGCUAAUACCGCAUAUUCUGUGAGCAGGAAAGAGGGGGAUCGCAAGACCUCUUGCUUUAGGAGCGGCCGAUGUCGGAUUAGCUAGUUGGUGAGGUAAAGGCUCACCAAGGCGACGAUCCGUAGCGGGUCUGAGAGGAUGAUCCGCCACACUGGGACUGAGACACGGCCCAGACUCCUACGGGAGGCAGCAGUGGGGAAUUUUGGACAAUGGGCGCAAGCCUGAUCCAGCCAUGCCGCGUGAGUGAAGAAGGCCUCGGUUGUAAGCUCUUCGUGGGAGAAU
rnacentral:rRNA from 1 species